rnacentral:tmRNA from 1 species
UCGAGUGGUCGUGCAGAGGAGCGAAAAUUUUAACGACAUACGGGAUUGAAUAAUGUUUGUUCUGCGCAAUAUCUUUCCCCGACAAUUGAGUCAGAACUAAGUAUGUAGAAAACCUUUGGGUUCCCUGUUUGGACGAGGGUUCGACCCCCUCCAGCUCCACCA